UGAGUACGAAAUGCUACGGCAUUGAAGCAGUCUAUGUCAUACUUCCAAGAAAAGCUUGCACCGUCAGAAACAAAUAAUGCCUGUACCAUAACCGACACAGGUGGGUAGGUAGAGUAUACUAAGGGGCGCGAGAUAACUCUCUCAAAGGAACUCGGCAAAAUGACUCCGUAACUUCGGGAGAAGGAGUGCCUUAUUUCUAAGGUUGCAAUAACAAGAUCCAAGCAACUGUUUAUCAAAAACACAGGUCUCCGCUAAGUCGUAAGACGAUGUAUGGGGGCUGACGCCUGCCCAGUGCCAGAAGGUUAAAGAAGUUGGUUAGCAUCCGCGAAGCUGAUAACUGAAGCCCUGGUGAACGGCGGCCGUAACAAUAACGGUCCUAAGGUAGCGAAAUUCCUUGUCGGGUAAGUUCCGACCCGCACGAAAGGCGUAAUGAUUUGGAUACUGUCUCGGAGAGGGGCUCGGUGAAAUAGACUUGCCUGUGAAGAUGCGGACUACCUGCACCUGGACAGAAAGACCCUAUGAAGCUUUACUGUAACUUGAAAUUGAAAUUGGACUUUAUUUGCGCAGUAUAGGUGGGAGGCGUUGAAGAUAUUCUUGCGGGAAGAUUGGAGCCAUCAGUGAGAUACCACUCUUGUAAUGUUAGAUUUCUAACUUUGUAUCAUUAUCUGGUCAAAGAACAGUUUCAGGCGGGCAGUUUGACUGGGCGGUCGCCUCCCAAACGGUAACGGAGGCGCACAAAGGUUUCCUCUGAACGGGUAGAAAUCGUAUCUAGAGUGUAAAGGCAUAAGGAAGCUUGACUGUGAGACCUACAAGUCGAGCAGGGACGAAAGUCGGUCUUAGUGAUCUGACGGUGCUGAGUGGAAAGGCCGUCACUCAACGGAUAAAAGUUACUCUAGGAUAACAGGCUGAUCUCCCCCAAGAGUUCACAUCGACGGGGAGGUUUGGCACCUCGAUGUCGGCUCAUCGCAUCCUGGGGCGGUAGUACGUCCCAAGGGUUGGGCUGUUCGCCCAUGAAAGCGGUACGCGAGCUGGGUUCAGAACGUCGUGAGACGGUUCGGUCCAUAUCCGGUGUAGGCGUUAGAAUAUUGAGAGGAGCCUUCUUUAGUACGAGAGGACCGAGAAGGACAUACCUCUGGUGUACCAGUUAUCGUGCCAACGGUAAACGCUGGGUAGCUAUGUAUGGAGAGGAUAACCGCUGAAAGCAUCUAAGUGGGAAGCCCACCUCAAGAUAAG
rnacentral:rRNA from 1 species